rnacentral:lncRNA from 1 species
CGCCUGUCCAACAAAAGCCACGCCCCUCUGAGUCCGCGCCCAUUGAGCGUCUGGCCCCAGCGUCUCACCGGGUCUGGUCUCUGCGGCACUCCGGCCCGCCGACCCCUCCCACCGGACACCCCAUCGUCGUGCCUGGUGAAGGCCUAGGGACUGAGGGCCGCCCCUUCCCCGGUGUCCCUCUGACUCCCACCUACAGGCCCAGCCUGUCCCAGGAUACCACAGAAGCUCUGGGGCCGACGCAGCCCAGCAUGCCUGCCUUCGCCCAUGACCGUCAGCCCCCUCAGAACUUGCAGGAACCACGGUAGAAACCGGCUGGGCCUGCCAGGAAGCCUGAAUGACCCCAACAGCCUCCACCCCAAUAGUCCCACCUGCAUGCUAAAUGACAACCCAUCACCUUGAGGGUUGACAGUUGCUGUGCAGACAAUGGAAAGAGCCAUACCCCCCCCCAAGAAGAGCAGAAAAAGAGGUGGGCCCUGAAUUCCUGGGAAAUCUGCCUGCCAGUUUCCAGACACGGUUCUCCUUCCGCCUUUGCCUAACCCUUCCUUUCCUGUCUUCACUCUGCUUCAGAGAUCACGCA